UCCUACAAUGAUCUGGGCACCUGUUGUAACUAUGCUGUUGGCUUGCUGCGCGUAUGGAGCCUCUCAGCCGGCGCUAAAUCAGCCUCGCAUUGUUUCUGCCUCCCCUGAGCAGGAUAUUCAGCUCUCCUGCACUAUUAUUUCUGGUGAUAAGUUUGACAUAUACAGAGUGAUCUGGCUGCAGCAGAGUCUGGGCAAAGGUCCGCGGAUGGUGUAUCACUAUCGAACAGGUAGCACACAGGGCAGAGGGCCUGGAAUCUCUGAGAGGUUCUCAGUAACAGAUGAUGUACCCAACCGGCAAUGGAACCUAAUGAUUCAUACAGUGCAAAAGGAGGAUGAUGGGGAUUAUUACUGUACUUCAUGGGUUGAUAAUAAAAAUGGGUAUCACAGUAACAAAAUAAACUUCUGCAUUGAGCAAGAACUCUUCCUCUUUCUCUAA